UUUUUAAUUAAUUUAUUAAAAAUUAUUUUGGCUGUUUAAAAUUUAUUAUUUUGUUAGGAGUAGUUGUUUAUGAUCCUUUAUUCGCUUUGAUACAUAUUGUAUACAUUGUAGUAGCUGAAGUGGUGGUCUAGUUAUGCCAUCAAGACAUAUUUUUAAAGAUUGUGGUAUUGUAAAAUAUGGAAGGUAGUAGACGACAUCAAACUAAAUCGUUCAAUGUAAAUUGCACUAUGGGUUACUACGGCUUAACAAAAAAUUUGAUAAGAAUUAAUCAAAGAAAUUCUCAACACUCCAUCGAAACAAAGAACACAGUGGUAGUUAUACUGUGCUACUGUAUACAUGACCGUGUUACUGCGACGAUGUCUUCAAACGAAGAUUUUAUAAGAAAAAACAAAGUGGUAAUAAUUGACGACGACAAAAACACAACGCUUCACUAUGCUGCGGCUUUAGGUAAUUUGGAGGAAAUUCAUAAAAUAAUUGGAAGUAAGCAAAAGCUAGACCCAGAAAAUUAUUUAGGAUGGACACCGCUGAUGAUGGCUGUUAGAAAUGUAAACGGUUUAGGCGUGAACAUAUUGUUACUUAAAGGAGCUGAUGCCACUAUAAGAAAAAUAAAUUUGGUAUCAACGUAUUUUUAAUCAGUGUGACAUGUGGCGAUAUAGCAAUUGUGGAAAAAAUUUUAAACCAUUUGCUCUCUGGGGGCGUUUCAAGGCAGUCUUUGCAGAAGUUGUUUUCGCCAGUGUCUUUAGCGAUUUUGUGUGGGCCAUAGGGCACAACCAUAUCUUUAAAUAUCUACUGGGGCAAUCUUUUGAUCCGAUGAUCCGAAUGCAGCAGCCACUUUGACAGUAUCACGCCAUUAAUGUUUGCUGCUGUUUUGGGAAAAGAAAAGUUAAUCAAGAAACUGCUGCAUUUUAAGGCCAACAUUCAUAAAAAAAAUUACUUAGGAAAGACUGCAGUCGAUAUUCUACAAACACGACAUACCAGCGUCGAGAGCAACUUCGACAAAACCAAGCCAAGACCACAAACUUCUCACAACCAAAACAGUCCCCAUUUACAACUAACUCCAUUUUCAGAGCCCAGGGUUAGGAAAUUGUCCAACACGCGAGCUCCAAACAUGAUCUGCACUUCCAGAAUCACCUCGAUUACUCCACAGUUUAGACCACAAAUAUUUUUCGGCCCGGAUUUUACUCCAUGGCAAUUUAUUAGUCCUGGUCCUGCUAUAACUUACCAACCAUUUUUAAAUGCGGCCAGUACACCUUCGAAUUUUGUCUCGCCGUUACCAUCGCCGCAAAUGUG